rnacentral:rRNA from 1 species
GAUGAACGCUAGCUACAGGCUUAACACAUGCAAGUCGAGGGACCGGCGCGCGGGUGAGUAACACGUAUCCAACCUGCCCUUUACUCGGGGAUAGCCUUUCGAAAGAAAGAUUAAUACCCUAUAUCAAGGAUGGGGUUGCGUUCCAUUAGGUUGUUGGUGAGGUAAAGGCCCACCAAGCCUUCGAUGGAUAGGGGUUCUGAGAGGAAGGUCACCCACACUGGAACUGGGACACGGCCCAAACGGCAACGGGCGGCAGCAGAGAGGAAUAUUGGUCAAUGGGCGCUAGCCUGAACCAGCCAGGUAGCGUGAAGGAUGAAGGCUUAUGGAUCGUAAACUUCUUUUAUAUAAGAAUAUGUAUUAUAUGAAUAAGGACCGGUUAAUUCCUUGCCAGCGGCCGCGGUAAUU